AUUGAACGCUGGCGGCAGGCCUAACACAUGCAAGUCGAACGAGUGGCGGACGGGUGAGUAAUUUCUGGGAAACUGACUGAUGGAGGGGGAUCACUACUGGAAACGGUAGCUAAUACCGCAUACCAUCAGAUGUGCCCAUAUGGGAUUAGCUUGUUGUUGGGGUAACGGCUCACCAAGGCGACUAUCCCUAGCUGGUCUGAGAGGAUGACCAGCCACACUGGAACGGAGACACGGUCCAGACUCCUACGGGAGGCAGCAGUGGGGAAUAUUGCACAAUGGGCGCAAGCCUGAGGCAGCCAUGCCGCUUGUAUGAAGAAGGCCUUCGGGUUGUAAAGUACUUUCAGCGGGGAGGCGUUACCCGCAGAAGAAGCACCGGCUAACUCCGUGCCAGCAGCCGCGGUAAUUC
rnacentral:rRNA from 1 species